AAAAAUGAGGAAAUUAUUGGUAACCAAUUUAUUUUAAAAGCCCAUCAAUUUAAUUUCUGGUGGUGCAGAAGUUAGAAGGUAAAGCUUGAGAAGAUGAGGGUGUUUACGUAGACCAGAACCAAUUUAGAAGAAUACUUGAAGCUAGAAGGGGAAGUUGGUUAAAAAUCACAUCAAAAAGCUACUAAAAGGACUGGUGUAAUUUAAAAAAAACUAAGGCAGAAGGCUUUUGGAAGAGUUAGAAGAAUUUGGAAGGCCUUAAAUAUAGUAGCUUAGUUUGAAAAAUGUGAAGGACUUUCGUAACGGAAGUAAUUCAAGAUCAAGAGUAAUUACCAACUUAAUGUUUUUGCAUUGGACUUUGAGUUAAGAUUAUUUUUUAAAUCCUGAGGACUAGCAUUAAUUGACAGCUGACCCAGGUGCUACACAGAAGUGGAUUCAGUGAAUCUAGGAAGACAGCAGCAGACAGGAUUCCAGGAACCAGUGUUUGAUGAAGCUAGGACUGAGGAGCAAGCGAGCAAGCAGCAGUUCGUGGUGAAGAUAGGAAAAGAGUCCAGGAGCCAGUGCGAUUUGGUGAAGGAAGCUAGGAAGAAGGAAGGAGCGCUAACGAUUUGGUGGUGAAGCUAGGAAAAAGGAUUCCAGGAAGGAGCGAGUGCAAUUUGGUGAUGAAGGUAGCAGGCGGCUUGGCUUGGCAACCACACGGAGGAGGCGAGCAGGCGUUGUGCGUAGAGGAUCCUAGACCAGCAUGCCAGUGUGCCAAGGCCACAGGGAAAGCGAGUGGUUGGUAAAAAUCCGUGAGAGGCAUUUCAUCCUUCAUGAAGCCAUUCAGGAUUUUGAAUUGCAUAUGAGUGCUUGGCUCUUCCUUCUGUUCUAACUUCACAGAGAAUGCAGUUGUCUUGACUUCAGGUCUGUCUGUUCUGUUGGCAAGUAAAUGCAGUACUGUUCUGAUCCCGCUGCUAUUAGAAUGCAUUGUGAAACGACUGGAGUAUGAUUAAAAGUUGUGUUCCCCAAUGCUUGGAGUAGUGAUUGUUGAAGGAAAAAAUCCAGCUGAGUGAUAAAGGCUGAGUGUUGAGGAAAUUUCUGCAGUUUUAAGCAGUCGUAUUUGUGAUUGAAGCUGAGUACAUUUUGCUGGUGUAUUUUUAGGUAAAAUGCUUUUUGUUCAUUUCUGGUGGUGGGAGGGGACUGAAGCCUUUAGUCUUUUCCAGAUGCAACCUUAAAAUCAGUGACAAGAAACAUUCCAAACAAGCAACAGUCUUCAAGAAAUUAAACUGGCAAGUGGAAAUGUUUAAACAGUUCAGUGAUCUUUAGUGCAUUGUUUAUGUGUGGGUUUCUCUCUCCCCUCCCUUGGUCUUAAUUCUUACAUGCAGGAACACUCAGCAGACACACGUAUGCGAAGGGCCAGAGAAGCCAGACCCAGUAAGAAAAAAUAGCCUAUUUACUUUAAAUAAACCAAACAUUCCAUUUUAAAUGUGGGGAUUGGGAACCACUAGUUCUUUCAGAUGGUAUUCUUCAGACUAUAGAAGGAGCUUCCAGUUGAAUUCACCAGUGGACAAAAUGAGGAAAACAGGUGAACAAGCUUUUUCUGUAUUUACAUACAAAGUCAGAUCAGUUAUGGGACAAUAGUAUUGAAUAGAUUUCAGCUUUAUGCUGGAGUAACUGGCAUGUGAGCAAACUGUGUUGGCGUGGGGGUGGAGGGGUGAGGUGGGCGCUAAGCCUUUUUUUAAGAUUUUUCAGGUACCCCUCACUAAAGGCACCGAAGGCUUAAAGUAGGACAACCAUGGAGCCUUCCUGUGGCAGGAGAGACAACAAAGCGCUAUUAUCCUAAGGUCAAGAGAAGUGUCAGCCUCACCUGAUUUUUAUUAGUAAUGAGGACUUGCCUCAACUCCCUCUUUCUGGAGUGAAGCAUCCGAAGGAAUGCUUGAAGUACCCCUGGGCUUCUCUUAACAUUUAAGCAAGCUGUUUUUAUAGCAGCUCUUAAUAAUAAAGCCCAAAUCUCAAGC
rnacentral:lncRNA from 1 species